rnacentral:rRNA from 1 species
UACGGGGGGUGCGAGCGUUGUCCGGAAUCACUGGGCGUAAAGCGCACGCAGGCGGUCUGCUAAGUUUGGAGUGACAGUUGGUGGCUUAACUGCCAAAGUGCUUCGAAAACUGACAGACUUGAGGGCUUCAGAGGGACACGGAAUUCCGGGUGGAGUGGUGAAAUGCGUAGAGAUCCGGAGGAACACCAAAGGCGAAGGCAGUGUCCUGGGGAGUACCUGACGCUCAGGUGCGAAAGCCAGGGGAGCGAACGGG